CUGGUUUGGGUGACUGACCUGGACUACCAAGAUGAAAUCAGACUACUACUCCACAAUGGAGUAUUGCUUCUGAGCAAGAAACUCACUUCAAAACAAAAGAAGUGCAAGAAUGGGCUCAUGCUCAUGGAUUUCACUGAUUUCACCAUGUUCCCCACCAAUCUGAAGCAGCUGGCUUGAUAGAAUGAUGGAAUGUUCUUUUGAAGACUGAAUUACAGCACCAGCUAGCUUUAAUUUCUGUCAGCCUAGAGGUCUUAGUUCCACAGAAACAAAUGCUUCUACCAGGAGACACAACAAUGAUUUCAUUGUGUUGGAUGUUAAGACUGCCACCUGGCCAUUUUGGGUUCCUCAUGCCUUUGAGUCAACAGGCAAGAAGAAAGAUGUGGUGUUGGCUGGGAUUAUUAAUCCUGAUGACGAAGGGGAAAUUGAACUAAUCCUCCUCAAUAAAGGGAGAAACAGAAAUAAUGAAGGAUGAAAAUUUGGAGAGGCACUGUUUUUAGUAAUAGUCUUACAUAUGAGGUAAGGCUUAAAGUUGCCAAAAUGGAAUCUGGAAAUAAAAAUCCAUCAGCCUUAUGUCUAAAGUAAAUCAUAAUUGUUCUGAAAAUGAUUAACGCUGGGUGACAGCCAAUGCUCCUUUGAUAAAAUAGUACUUAGUCUGAUUCUACAAUUGAGUAGACAGGAAAUGGCUCACCUUUUGGUAAUGAAUUAACUCUUUCAUACAGG
rnacentral:lncRNA from 1 species